AGCUCGUAGUUGAAUUUCGGGAUCAAUUUAUUGGUCGUGCUAUUGUACGUACUGGUAUUAUUGAUUCCUACCUUCUGACGAACCAUGAUGUCAUUAAUUUGGUGUCAUGGGGAAUCAGGACUGUUACUUUGAAAAAAUUAGAGUGUUUAAAGCAGGCUCACGCUUGAAUACAUUAGCAUGGAAUAACGAAAUAGGACGUUUGAUUCUAUUUUGUUGGUUUCUAGGAUCGACGUAAUGAUUAAUAGGGAUAGUUGGGGGCAUUAGUAUUCAAUUGUCAGAGGUGAAAUUCUUGGAUUUAUUGAAGACUAACUACUGCGAAAGCAUUUGCCGAGGAUGUUUUCAUUAAUCAAGAACGAAAGUUAGGGGAUCGAAGACGAUCAGAUACCGUCGUAGUCUUAACCAUAAACUAUGCCGACUAGGGAUCGGAUGAUGUUAAUUUUUUAAUGACUCAUUCGGCACCU
rnacentral:rRNA from 1 species